rnacentral:snRNA from 1 species
GUGCUCGCUUUGGCAGCACAUAUACUAAAAUUGGACUGAUACAGAGAAGAUUAGCAUGGCCCCUGCGCAAGGGUGACACGCAAAUUCAUGAAGCAUUCCAUAUUUUU